AGAUUUAGGAUUUGAUUAUGGAUUAAUUUGAAUUGAUUUAGAGUCUAGAAUAUGAUUAGGAUUUUUUUUAGGAUUUAAUUAAAAAUUAAGAUUUAUGUAGGAUUUGAUUAGGAUUUAGGAUUUUAUCUUGAUAUGAUUAGAAUUUGAUUGAGGUUUUAUUAGGGUUGGUCUAUGAUAUAGGAUUUCAUUAGGAUUUUAAUAGGGCUUUAUUAAGAUUUAUCUAGGAUUUAGGAUUUUAUUAGGAUUUCAUUAAAAUUUGAUCUAAGAUUUUGUUGAAGUUCAUAAGAGUUUCAAUUAAGGUUUGUCCUAGGAUUUGAUUAAGGAUUCAAUAGGAUUUACUUAAGGUUUCAAUUAAGAUUUGAUCUAGGAUUAUUUA
rnacentral:lncRNA from 1 species